CGUGGCAAUCACUUCGGCCCAGGAUUCGCCCGUUUUGUGGGGCAGUCACCUAGGGUGUGGACAGGUUGAAACAGCUCCUCCGUGCACACGCGUCCCUUUAUUGGGUUUCUGGAAAUGGCACUUCUUAACCCGGCGUGAACGACACUCUUCGGGCUUUGCAGUACUUGUGUGUAGCUUAGCUUUCUCCGCAUGCCCCUCUGCACUCUCCCCCUCCUCCUCACCUUGAACCGUAAGGUAGUGCCUCGGUGCGCUGGUACUCAUUCCCGGGAGCUAUGGUGUGUCUCAAUACUUUGGCUACUGUCCAGUAAUCACUUCACAGACUUUAACCCUUUGCGUGCACUAGUACUUGAAGGAGUCCCCAGAAACAAACACACUGGCAAAACCCAUCUUCUUAUCCUACAAAAAUGCAUUGUUUGUUUUGAAUGUUGUUGGAGACGGGGGUCUUGUUACCUAUCCCUGGCUGUCCUGCUACUUGCUGUGUAGCCCAGGCUGGACCUUACACCUGUUUCAUCCCUGCUGCCUUGGCGUCUUCAGAUUCGGAGGUGAUUUCCUGAGGCUUAAAACAAUUUGCGUUCCUAUUCAAAUCUACCUCGAAUAUCCAACAUCCGUUCCUGACAAAGUCCAGUAGUAGUGAGACAAUGUUGCUGUAGGUUUUCGAAGUUAGAUACAACCUCCAUCCCCAGAUAACUGAAAUCUACAGUGGUCUGGAAAUCAGAAAAGAGAGAGAUGAGGACAAAGGUUUGCUCUAGUCACAUUGGGGCCUUCCUCAGGAGUGGUCAGUUUAGGAUACAGACCGUUCCAGGGCAGAGUUGUGACAUGACCCUAAUCCAUGAUUUCUUUCAGCAGCCCAGAGUCUGCUAAUGAAAAUGAGCUGUGCCAGAAACUUCUUGAAGCACACAACCUGUGUAUGCAUUUUCUCUUAAUGGGUUGAAACCACUUUGGAGCUAUGCCGGGCGAGGGACCCAGCAUUGGUAGGCAAGCAUUGCAGCAACCAUGACCUCCCAUGUGCCCAACGUGGGAAGACUGGAGUGGAAUUGCUGUUCCAGGUACUUUCUGUUGUUCUCUGGGAAGGCCUGGCUGUCCCAGAACUUGCUCUGUAGACCAGGCUGACCUGGAAUUCACAGAGGAUCCACCUGCCUCUGCCUCUCAAUGCUCGGAUUAAAGGCAUGAACCAUCA